UGCUUAGUACGGCGAGUGAGCGGCAAAAGCUCAAAUUUGAAAUCUAGCACUUUCAGUGUUCGAGUUGUAAUUUGAAGAAGGUAACUUUGGAAUUGGCUCUUGUCUAUGUUCCUUGGAACAGGACGUCACAGAGGGUGAGAAUCCCGUGCGAUGAGAUGUCCAAUUCUAUGUAAAGUGCUUUCGAAGAGUCGAGUUGUUUGGGAAUGCAGCUCUAAGUGGGUGGUAAAUUCCAUCUAAAGCUAAAUAUUGGCGAGAGACCGAUAGCGAACAAGUACAGUGAUGGAAAGAUGAAAAGAACUUUGAAAAGAGAGUGAAAAAGUACGUGAAAUUGUUGAAAGGGAAGGGCUUGAGAUCAGACUUGGUAUUUUGUGUUCCUUAUCCUUCUUGGAUUAGGUUCCUCACAGCUUACCGGGCCAGCAUCGGUUUGGAUGGCAGGAUAAUGACAUUGGAAUGUAGCUUUGCUUCGGUGAAGUGUUAUAGACUUUGUUGAUACUGCCUAUCUAGACCGAGGACUGCGUCUUUGACUAGGAUGCUGGCGUAAUGAUCUUAAGCCGCCCGUCUUGA
rnacentral:rRNA from 1 species